CAACCCUGAUCCAGCAAUGCCGCGUGAGUGAUGAAGGCCUUAGGGUCGUAAAGCUCUUUUACCAGGGAUGAUAAUGACAGUACCUGGAGAAUAAGCUCCGGCUAACUCCGUGCCAGCAGCCGCGGUAAUACGGAGGGAGCUAGCGUUGUUCGGAAUUACUGGGCGUAAAGCGCACGUAGGCGGUUAUUCAAGUCAGAGGUGAAAGCCCGGGGCUCAACCCCGGAACUGCCUUUGAAACUAGAUGACUGGAAUCUUGGAGAGGUCAGUGGAAUUCCGAGUGUAGAGGUGAAAUUCGUAGAUAUUCGGAAGAACACCAGUGGCGAAGGCGACUGACUGGACAAGUAUUGACGCUUAGGUGCGAAAGCGUGGGGAGCAAACAGGAUUAGAUACCCUGGUAGUCCACGCCGUAAACGAUGAUAACUAGCUGUCCGGACACUUGGUGUUUGGGUGGCGCAGCUAACGCAUUAAGUUA
rnacentral:rRNA from 1 species